rnacentral:rRNA from 1 species
UACGUAGGGGGCGAGCGUUGUCCGGAAUCAUUGGGCGUAAAGCGCACGUAGGCGGUUACUUAAGUCGGAUGUGAAAGCCCUCGGCUUAACUGAGGAAGUGCACCCGAAACUGAGUAGCUAGAGUACGAAAGAGGGUCGCGGAAUUCCCGGUGUAGAGGUGAAAUUCGUAGAUAUCGGGAGGAACACCGGUGGCGAAGGCGGCGACCUGGGUGGAUACUGACGCUGAGGCGCGAAAGCGUGGGGAGCAAACAGG